rnacentral:tRNA from 1 species
CGGGGUGUAGUAUAACGGUAGUACGCGCCCUUGGGGUGGGUGUAACCUCGGUUCAAUUCCGGGCACCCCGA